AAGAGGGCUUCCCAGGCCUGGCCAGCAAGAGCACAAACAGGGAGCCAUGGAGGACUGUUGUUGCCGAAGUUGCUAUGAAGUCACAACUUCAUCAAAAUGCAUUCCAUGACCUCACUGACAGGUUCAAAUUGCACCAUGAGACAUGCACUGGCACCAUGAACCUAUCAGAUAAAGUGUCCUGAGGGCUGCAGUCUUGCAUUUAUUUAUUUGAUGAACAUACCUCUACCUCAUCAGACAAUGAGCUCCAUGAUGUCAUCGUGGAGGGAUUUUAUCUGUUUCUAGUCGCUUUUGCUUCCCCAGUGCCUAGAUGCCUAAUUCAUAUUUGUUGAAGGGAAAUGGGGUAGGGUAGAGGAGGAGGGAGGAAGAAAUUUCUAUCGCUUUCUACAGUUAAAAUGGAGAGAAUCUAAAGAACUUUCCCAAGGACACAGAGAUAGUAAGUGACACAGCAGGACACUGAACCCAAGUUUCCAAGGCACGUUUCUUUUCCACCCUAUCAUAACUUUCUUCUAGGGCCUUGGCAGGCCUCUGUGUGCUGUGAUAAUCACACCCUGAAGAUUAUUAUGACAUUGGAGGCAUGCCCGGUCUGGCUCCAGACAAGGUGGUGCAUGCAAUAUCAUGGAGCUGCAGCAGUGUCACUUAGCCACAUGUAGGGCAGAAUGAUGCUAGGCAUACCCUGACAGAUCUCUGGGUGACAUAAAGAUGACUUCGACUUGGCGCUAUCCAGGUGGAUUCCUGGGGGCGCCACAACUAGACUUAGCAGGAGUAUAAGAUUUAGGAUAAUCAGCCUGCUAGAAGAAGAAAAGCAACCAUCUAUUGUGCCCUUAUCAUAUGCAAAACUCUUUAAUGACACUAUUUGGUUGAUUCUGACAUAAGACCUUCUAAAGAGAUACUAUUUCCCCCAUUUUACAGAUGAUGAAACUGAGGUCUGGAGACCGAGUUGCCCAGAGUCACACAACUGUCAGUAGUCAUGGAGGAAUUAGCUUUGAA
rnacentral:lncRNA from 10 species